CAAGCAAAUUCCAGAUCAGAGCUCAGGCAUGGAAAAGCAAGCAGAAUUCUCAGCGGAGGACACAGGCCAGGAGAAGCCUGGUGGUUGGGAUUCGCCUAGCAGAAUGUAAGGGAGGGUGGAGACAGGCAGAGGCUGGGCAGCCGUCAGCCUGAAUGGAGAGUUUCAAGAGCAGUGAGAGACCCUACUUCAAGGUGGAGAACCAAUGGAGGAAGACACCUGUCCUCUUCUGGCCUUUGCACACACAGGUGUUCACAGAUGUAUAUGCCCUCCACCCCACACACGUGCACUAAAAGGAAAGGAAGAUGUCCCUAAUACUCUGCUGUCUGAGGUCUCCUGGCAGCAGCAGAGGAAAGAGCUACCAUGCCAGCAGCUGAGGGAAUGAGAGGA